CUUUCUCAAUAACAGAACAUAAUUAACUUCACUAUGCUAAAGAUGCUGUCUUUUGGGUGGUGCUUUGCUUCUUUCAGGAUAGUGCCUUUGGACAUGUGGAGUGCAUUAGGUUUGGCAGGUGUCUUGUUGCAGGAGUCAUGUUGCUGUUGGUGGCAAUGAUCGUUCGUCAUGAAGACGCAAGUCCAGUGGAUGCAAUGUGUCUGUCUUGUUGGAUGCGCAGAUUAUGUAUUGCAUUGAACUGCUUCUGCUAAGUUAACGAAUUUCACACCACUUGCCGAUGAUAAUAAACCUGAUUCUGGUUACAUGGGACAUCGAUUGGAUGCAGAGUCCAGUCGUAGAGUGAAAUUUACUGAAGUGCGGAAAACCUGAAGAAUCGAGUAAAGUUGGUGUCGUCAGCAGUAAUACAGGAUCGCCCUUAUUGAAUCCUCAUUCGGAAGAGAUAAUAACCUGCAUCUGAGAUAGUCAUAGUCCCUGCUAUAAGAGCAGAAAGGGCUGGAGCAGGGUUAUUCACCAAGGAAGAUCAGUGCCUUUAAUACGUUUAAAUUUCCUUCAUCGUAAAUCCUUUGGGCAAGGCAUAUUUCGGCUGGGAUCAGCAGUAUCUUCACACCGUUGAGCAACUUGUUACUUCAGGAAAGUCUCUCCUAAUUGACUGUGUAAAUCAUUUGGACUUUCGCAUUUAUCGCUUUAAGAACUGUGAUCACAUUUAUCGCUUUAAGAACUGUUCGUGUUGCCGUAUAGCUGUUAACUUCCGGUUAAGUUAGUCGUUUGUUUACUUUUGGGUUUUUUUUAUUGAGCAGUGUUUAAUAAAUGUUUUAUUUGUUUAUAAAAAACCUGUCUCAAUUCUAUAUUCACUGAUGCUGUAUCAUAAUAUAACAAAAACAAGUGGUCCAGAUGUUCAAUCCUAAGCAACCCACCAGUUCUUAUUUUCUAUGUCAUAGUCAAUUUUGUAGCCUUGUUACAAACGUUGUGACAAAUAUUGUAUGUGGUAGUUUAUCAAGCAACUUUGGAAAGUCCAUGCAUUAAGCAAUAUCUUCACCUACACUCUUCUUUAGAUGAUCAACAAUCUCAAUCAAGUUGCUAAACAAGAUUUACCCUGCUUUUUUAAUAAAUUUUCACCCAAGAGUCAGGGACAUGGACAUGAGAACAUAAGAUUAAAUGCUAGAGAUGUCAACCAUAUCCUCACAUCAAAUUAUGACAAGUUCCCUCCAGUGGUAGUUGUCUUCAAAGUCUAAAAAUUAAGUGUGUUUUUAGGCACAAAGUUAGAAAGUAUUCAAGUGUUAAAACUUUCUAGAUUCAAAUCACUCUUAUAUUCAAUUUUGAAUCAGAUCUGCAUCUAUUUAUUAAUCAAUAUAUGAAAGUAUAAUAUUUAAAGCAAAGGUUUUUCAAAGCAUGAUCUGAAAUGGGAAUGUGUAAUAGGAUUUGAUUCUAAUGCAGCAAGAGGGAUUGUGUAAAUGGGCAAAAACUUCGGCACAGAUAUGAUGAGCUGAAGAGUCCAUUUCUAUGGAUUGCUAAUGUACUGGCUUACAGAUUUUAUUUUCAGCAAUAUGCAAAUAGUUUUGAGUGGUCCUUUAAAGAUUUUUUUAAAUUACAAUUAGAGCUAUUUUGGGAGCAAUUUGCACCCAGAUCGCUGGAUACUUCAAAGCAGGCUUGACAUUUGCAACAUUGCACAAUUGAUGAUAAUAUUUAAAGGUCAGUCCAUUUUUCUCCACAUAUUACUAAACAAAUUAAAAUAUAUAAUCCUGCAAUGAUUUUUGUCCUAAUUAAGGCUCUUGGCCCAAAACGUCACCUGUUUAUUCCUCACCAUAGAUGCUGCCUCACUUGCUGAGUUCCUUCAGCAGUUUGUGUGUGUUGCUCAAGAUUUCCAGCAUCUGUCAAAUCCUGUGUUUAUAAUUCUGCCAUUACUUCUUGAACAGCUCAUCUGGUGAUAUUUAUACUAGUGAGAAACUGAAAUACGUUAGGCAAGACUUAAGUGACAAAUAUCAUUAAUUUCAUCAUGUCCUCAACGAUAGAUGUAGCUGCAUUGCUCCAGAAGUUAGCAUAGUAAA